GGGUCAAUGAUGACAACUCAUACUGUUUAGAAGAGAGAUGAUAACCUCAAAAUCGUGCUCAAUAGGAUUAAGCUUAAGCCC
ensembl:snoRNA SNORD115 Small nucleolar RNA SNORD115